GACUUGACGGCGCUUCGAACCCACCUAGAGGAGCCUGUCCUAUAAUCGACGGUACACGAUUCACCCGACCACCUCUAGCCCCUCAGCCUGUAUACCGCCGUCGCCAAGCCCGUCCCCCUGAGGGAGACAAAACGAGCACAAUAGCCUCCCAGGCUAGCACGUCAGGUCAAGGUGCAGCCAAUGAGGUGGAAGAGAUGAGCUACAUUUUCUAACACAUAGAAAUAUGCAACGGAGAGCCCUGUGAAA
rnacentral:rRNA from 1 species